AGCAGCCGAACAGCCUGGGUGAACGUGUCAGGCAGCAGGUUCUCUCUGGGUUUCAAGAGGCUUCUAGUGACCUGCUAUACUUGAGCAUGAAGGUUACAGAUACUAGCAUGAUGCCGACCAGACUUCCCUGGACAGAGAAUCCCACCAAUGUGUCCUGGACCUCCGCUUCCCCAGAGCCCUUCCCCAUUAGGGAAAGAGAAAGACAGGCUGGGAGUAUGGAUCGACCUGUUAACGCCCAUGUUCAGUGGGGAAGCAAUUACAGAAGCCAAACUUUCCACCUUCUGCAUCUCACAAUGACCUUGGGUCCAUACUCCCAGGGGGUUAAAGAAUAGGAAAGCUAUCAGGGGAGAGGAUGGGAUACAAAGUUCUGGUGGUGGGAAUUGUGCGAAGCUGUACCCCUCUUAUCCUAUGGUUUAAUCAAUGUUUCCUUUUUAUAAAUAAAUAAUUAAAUAAAAAAGAAG